GUAGAAAUUUCUAGAAACGAAAGGAAAAAUGAAAGAUUGAAUGGGAUUUUCACACGUGACUUCCAUCAAGACUGUCAUUCAAAUAUUCAAGCCACACUGUAAGCAUACACUUUAAAGCAGUUGUGUUUCAAACACUACUGUGUCUGGAAACUGUGGGGGGGGACGAAGACUCCAUAAAUGGCUAAAGAUGACAAUAAAACCUGAGAAAAUGGAACAUACUAGUAAUGCAAACUCCUUCCUGUUUUAAAGUGCACACUUCCCAUCAUCAUCACAACCAGACCAGCAUGUCUCUGAUGGCUCCAUCACACAACCGAGUCAAAUGUGGGCGGCUGUGGAUCAGGUGGUAGAGCGGGUUGUCCACUAAUCGUAGGGUUGGCGUUUCGAUUCCCGUCCCUCAUGACUCCACAUGCCGAAGUGUCCUUGGGCAAGACACUGAACCCCGAGUUGCUCCCGAUGGCAAGUUAGCGCCUUUCGUGGAAGCUCUGCUACCACUGGUGUGUGAGUGUGUGUGUGAAUGGGUGAAUGAGGGUGUAAAGCACUUUGGAUAAAAGCGCUAUAUAAGUGUGCCAUUUACCAUUUACUUACUUUUGCUUUUGUUUAUGUGGAAAUGCCAUUCUCUACACCUGAACAGGUUGGAUUAGUUUCCCAUUCGUUGUAAUUUAGUUAGUAAGUAAUGUUGUUUUGGCUCAUUAUUCCCAGGCAAAUUAUUAAUUUUAAUUUUUUUUUUUAAACAGUUCUACAUACUCACACCACAGUCUUUCAAAGGUAGUGGUGGUCUGCUUUGGAUCAUGAGUACAUUUUGCGUUCCAAACUUUUUAGCUUUCCUACUUUCAGGUUCAUCGUCCUCUGUCACGUGUCCAUUAAAUUCUUUAUCCCAGGACCCCACAGUAUUGUUAUGUACUUUUAGUCAACUGAAACUUUUGUUACUGAUUCUUGUCGAUAAAUGUGACAUAUUAUAGACAUCUUAUCAAAUGAAACCAGGUAGACUUUGGUGCUUUUUGAACGUUUACUUCGACCUAAACUAUCGAUAUCUUCAUCGGGUCAUUUUAUUAUGUUUAUUGUCAUCAGUGAAGCCAGGAUGGUUUGUUUUAAGGGAAGCACGCCACACGAAGAGUUUCAAGGAAAGCUGCGGUUUAUUCAGUAACCCUCCACGUCCGUUCUGUUCAAAUCUAAAUGAAGGGGUCAGAUUAAAGGAAAUAAAAAAAAAAAAAAACAAUGGAAAGAAUGUGGGGUGUUUCUGUGUGACUCCACCCAGACUGGCAUUCAAAACAACAGACUACAUUCCAAGCAUGCACUUUAAAACAGGAAGGGAUUUAUUCCCCUUCUGUGCUGUGAGAGUUUCGUAGAGUGUAUGAAGAUUUAGUGAAAGGUUACGCAUCAAGAACGUGAUGGUUCCUUCCUGAUUUAAAGUGCACACUUCCACCAAUCAGACCAACCAGCCUGGCAUGGCCCCAGUCACACAACCAAGUAAAAUAUGGAAAAACAAUAUGUAUGCAGGAAUAAUACACAUAUACAGUGAUGAUACACAUAUACAUCAUGUUCUGUAUUCACUUGACUUGUCAUAAAUAAGUACUUGUAUCUCGGAAAUAAUUCUGUUUCAUUGUCUAGGCUUCAGGAACGUGAUCAUGACUUUUCAGAAAUACAGUGAGACAUAUUUAUGUAUAUAGUAUUACUCCAUAGUGACAUCACACAACACAACAACAACAACAAGAAAAAGAUCAUUCAAAGACGUAGUAGUGGUAAACAUACCAUAGAUUUCUAUAUGCAAUAAAGCUCUUCACCAAGCAAAGUAGUUCACGGGUAACGUGCAUACGUUGUGAAAUUCACCAACGAGGUUUCACAUGGACGCACAGCUCAACCAAGCGACACGUCGCUCUCGCACACGUACGCUGUUCUUCUAUUGGUUCAGCUCCUGUGGUCCACCCUUGGCAGCAGACCUCCAGCCAACUUCCUUAUAGUCUGUCAUCGUUAUCAUCGUCGUCGGUUUCGUCAUCCACCUCCUCGACUGCCAUUCGUUAUGAAGAUCUGCUUAUUUACACCAAGUCUCGUGUUUCACCAGAACACUGUAGAUAACGUCCAGGGCAGGUCCUCCAAAAUGAAGAGAGACACACAGUCUUUUCCUUUUCCUCUCUAGCACUGGAACCACCCCC
ensembl:lncRNA